rnacentral:lncRNA from 1 species
UUUUCGAGGAGCGUUAUUGGCAGCCGCUGGGAAAGCAUUCGCUCAAACCAGGGGGACAGGCCGACUUCCCAAAUUGGAUUAACGCCUUCCUUUCCAGCUUCCCUUGGCAGAAGCAGAAAUNGCGGGCUCUUGAGGAAAGAAGUGCCCUGGCAUCCCCACCUGCCUCCAUCCAGAUAAUCCUGCUGGAGGCCANAGCUUUCCCAUGGCUUCAACUCCAUCCGGCCUUGGAGAGGCUAGAAGCAGGCCGAUCCCAAAUGCCCUCAGCAGAAGGGGGACCAAUCCUGGCGCCAGCACGUCUUUUUAAACCGGCUUUCGCCACGCUCGGGCUUCAGUUCCCAUCUGCCCCGGGCAACGCAGCCGUGGCGGCAGCUGGAGUUCCACACGUCCGGGGACUGUCAGGCGGUUGAAACACUAAGUGCUUGGGCACGUGGCAGACACGUCUCACGGGCGCGGCUUCUGUCGACGUGCCGUGGCUCGGCUGGUCAGAAAAGGCGCAAGGGAUCCUCACUCAGCCACGGAAGCAGCACUGGCACACCGCUCGCGUUAACCUACCUCACGGGUCGCUAUGCGGAGGAAACGGGAGAGGAGAAACCACGAAGGCAGGUGUUCCUCACACGUGAAGAUACGGGCAGGUUGCUUGCGUCGGGAGAACAGUGGGAUUAGCCAGUGCUUUCACGUCAUCCGGUUGCUGGCACUAAUGUUCCUGUUUCUGCAGAUUUUUGAGACGCAUCCUUAUUGUGAGAAGUAGCCCUGCAGAACUUCUUAAUCCUCCAGCAGCAGGAAGUUAAGGAAAUGGGGAAGUGAUACAAGGCUAUCGCUUGCAGCGCUUGACCUGAAAGAGAGGCAUUGUCUGGGACUUCUGCAAACGCCGAGCUCCNUCUUUCUGCGCAGAGGUUACACUGUGACAAGGUACAGGUGCGGCUUUAGGAUCUCCCGCAACAUUGACCUUUCAGGGCUGAAGCUCUGCUGAAUGGUGCAACAGAGCUUAUGUCUGCUCCAGAGGUGUUCAACAAGGGACGUGUCAGGAAGCAUCCAAGCACCCAGCCAGCGGCAGCCGGCAGCUUUAAGCCUUGGUGUUCGCACCCUGUGUGAAGCACGCCAUGGCCAUUCGCAGGGCGUCUGUACUGCCUCAGCGGGGCGCGAACACCAAGGCUUANAGCCGCCGCCUGCCACUGCACCCAGCUGCAACGUGGGCUGGAUCACCACAUACCUGGCUUGAGGGCUGAGGGCCCUCAGUCCAGAUUUGGCAAAAAUCCCUCGCCCGCCUUUCCUGACUGCUGAAUCUAAAGCACUCUGAUACCAGAACAGCGCCCUGAAAAACCUCUUUACCCUGUCCUUAUCUCCGUGACCUCUCCCAUCCCCGGAAAUGGCAGGUAAAAUCCAAUCUCUCUCUUCAUCCUCACCACCAUCAGUGCCUCCAGGAUCCCCUCAAAAGUUCUGGGCAAAAGUCCAUCUUUUAUGACGUGAGACAAGGAAAACGGGGGCCCAGAUAUGCCGCCGAGCCCUUUGGGGACCAAGCCUGGAGGGCUUUUCUUAUUCAACACGCAGGGGAUGAACAGGGUUACCUCGUAGCCCGCUGCCAUGCCACAAGGCCAGGCCACAGACCUUUUCAUCGCAGAUGGGCGACAGAGUCGCGGAAGCGCCCCGCUGCUUGGUGAUUCGGCCCAGACAGCUCCGUUCAAGUUGCCUCUGACAACGGCAGAUAAAUGCUCCUCUUGAACCCGGUAGCCCCCAUCUUGUUUCAGCAGAUUGGCCUCUUUUGGCAUCGAGCACACGGCGGAUCCGACAACUUGCCGUUUGGUUUUUUUUUUUAAAUGAAAACUGUGUGUGCUUUUGUAAGACAUUCCCUUUUUCACUCUUGUAUAAUAGAAAUUUUCUAUACAUUGUUUCUGUAUGUACUGUACAUGUAACUUAUUCUCAAAUAGCANUAGGACAUAGAUUUGCCCCCGAAGUAAAUAAACUGUUUUUAGAACUUUUCA